rnacentral:rRNA from 1 species
UACGGGGGGGGCAAGCGUUGUUCGGAAUUACUGGGCGUAAAGGGCGCGUAGGCGGCCUGCUAAGUCGAACGUGAAAUCCCCGGGCUCAACCCGGGAACUGCGUCCGAUACUGGCAGGCUUGAAUCCGGGAGAGGGAUGUGGAAUUCCAGGUGUAGCGGUGAAAUGCGUAGAUAUCGGGAGGAACACCGGUGGCGAAGGCGGUUCUCUGGGCCUUACCUGACGCUGAGGAGCGAAAGCGUGGGGAGCGAACAGG